AACCGGAAACACUUCACAUAACACCGUACUUGCUACAUCAAUAGAAGAAUGGCAUUUACGCUAAUAUUAGUCUGUUUCUCUCUUGUUCCGAGGUCACCGUGGCCACCAGAUCCAGUCUGUGUCCAGAUCAGAGGGUCACUGCAGUCACCCGGAUCCAGUACGUAUCCAGACCAGAUGGUGGAUCAGCACCUAGAAAGGACCUCUACUGCCCUGAAAGACAGCGGAGACCAGGACAACUAGAGCCCAGAUACAGAUCCCCUGUAAAUACCUUGUCUCAGAGGAGCACCAGGACAAGACCACAGGAAACAGAUGAUUCUUCUGCACAAUCUGACUUUGCUGCAGUCUGGAAUUGAACUACUGGUUUCGUCUGGUCAGAGGAGAACUGACCCCAACUGAGCCUGGUUUCUCCCAAGGUUUUUUUCUCCAUUCUGUCACCGAUGGAGUUUCGGUUCCUUGCCGCUGUCGCCUCUGGCUUGCUUAGUUGGGGUCACUUCAUCUACAGCGAUAUCAUUGACUUGAUUGCAAAUAAAUGCACAGACACUAUUUCAACUGAACAGAGAUGACAUCACUGAAUUCAAUGAUGAACUGCCUUUAACUAUCAUUCUGCAUUAUUGACACACUGUUUUCCUAAUGAAUGUUGUUCAGUUGCUUUGACGCAAUGUUUUUUGUUUAAAGCGCUAUAUAAAUAAAGGUGACUUGACAAUUUCAUUGGUUUCUCUUUCUCACAUUUUUAAAUGUGUUUAUUUUGAUUGUUUGUUUGAUUUGAAACAGUAUUUGGUUCCAUACAGAUCUUAUUCACUUAGAUAUGCAAUUUCCUUUCUUUUUGUUUCCAGAAUUUCUUGUGAAACUGGACGUAGGUCUUUUCAAUAUAAAUCUCCUUCUGAUUGGAAUAAUCUUCCUCAAUCUUUUAUUGUUUUAGGCCAUUUCUAUUGUCUUAUCUGAAAAUAGAUUGUGUAUGUUUCUACGUUUUCUUAUGUUGAUUCUGCUUAUGUAUGAAGGUGAUUGUUUUGUAAUUAUGCUGUGGGAGUGGGGGAUUCGUUGAGCAUGUAUUUAGUUUUUCUAUUUGUGUGUUCACGUUUUGUAUGGUUGUAUGGUUCAUGAUGCCUUGUGUUUAUAGGACCCCUUUGAAAAUGAGAUACUUCAUCUCAAGGGGCUAUCCUUCCAAUAAAUUCAAAUACCAAUGAA